rnacentral:rRNA from 1 species
UACGGAGGGUGCAAGCGUUAUCCGGAUUCACUGGGUUUAAAGGGUGCGUAGGUGGGCUAGUAAGUCCGUGGUGAAAUCUCCAAGCUUAACUUGGAAACUGCCGUGGAUACUAUUAGUCUUGAAUAUUGUGGAGGUAAGCGGAAUAUGCCAUGUAGCGGUGAAAUGCUUAGAUAUGACAUAGAACACCGAUAGCGAAGGCAGCUUGCUACACAAUCAUUGACACUGAGGCACGAAAGCGUGGGGAUCAAACAGG